UACAGAGGUGGCAAGCGUUGUUCGGAAUUACUGGGCGUAAAGCGUGCGCAGGCGGUUCGUUGUGUCCGUCGUGAAAGCCCCGGGCUUAACCUGGGAACUGCGAUGGAAACUAGCGAGCUGGAGUGUGGCAGAGGGGGGUGGAAUUCCGCGUGUAGCAGUGAAAUGCGUAGAGAUGCGGAGGAACACCGAUGGCGAAGGCAGCCCCCUGGGCUAACACUGACGCUCAGGCACGAAAGCGUGGGGAGCAAACAGG
rnacentral:rRNA from 1 species